rnacentral:lncRNA from 1 species
AUCAGCAAAGCAGGGGAGGUUGUACAGACCCAUUUCUGUCCAGUGUACCUGAUGAAGAAUUACAUAAAUUAUACUAAGACCUAAAUCCCGAGGCUUAUGAGUAAAUAAACAUCUCUCCGUUGCAUCACAGCCACCCUUUCAUUUCACUAGAGACAGCUGCUCUAACUGCCCCAAGCAUUGGAGGAAGAGGAAGAGGGGGGGGGGAGGUCAAAAAUUAGAAGAAAAAAUAAAGAACAGAACCCGGCCCAAGCUUGGCGGUUUUUAAUGCGGUUUCUCUCGCUGGAGGAAGGGAGGGGGGAUUAAAAACGGCGGAGAAGUGAGCGCUCUGCGGUGGGGAAGAGCGGGGUGAGGUCGGGCUGCGGGACAGCGCGCCCUGGGUAGCAGAACCGAACCGAACCGAACCGAACCGCGCGGAGCCGUUCCCUCCCUCCCCGCUGCCGCGGCGGCUCCGGAGCUCGGGGGGCGGGCAGACCGGGCUCGCCUCGCCUCUGUUUUGGAGGGCGGGGGAGGAAGCGGAGCCGGCGGCCGUGGGUUGUUUUAGGGUUUGCUUUGGAGCGGGGAAGCCGGGAGCGCAGCCGGUGCGCACAGCCCCGAGUCUGGGGGCGAAGUUCCGCUGCGGGGGCAGCCCGUCUCCUCCAACCCCUCCGCGGCACAACUUUCCUGCUCGGCCCCAGCAUGAACCAGACGGCUGGGGUGUCCAACAACGUGCGCUGCUCCAGCGGCAAGGGGCCCAAGGGUAUUAUUUAUUUACUUAUUUAACUGUUUACUCCAAGGAUCUCAAGAACUGCACUUUGUCAUGAGGCAUGUUUCUAUGCUGGCUAAUGGGAUGCACCUUAAGGAAAUACAGAAUUUAUGGUUAGCUG